UCCCUCAUGGCUCAGUUGGUAAAGAAUCCGCCUGCAAUGCAGGAGGCCCAGGUUUGAUCCCUGGAAGGGGAA
rnacentral:tRNA from 1 species